AGUGAACGCUGGCGGUAGGCCUAACACAUGCAAGUCGAACGGCAGCACCGUAAGAGCUUGCUUUUACGGGUGGCGAGUGGCGGACGGGUGAGGAAUACACCUGAAUCUACUUUUUCGUGGGGGAUAACGUAGGGAAACUUACGCUAAUACCGCAUAAGACCGACGGGUGAAAGCAGGGGAUCUUCGGUCCUUGCGUGUUUGAAUGAGCCGAUGUCGGGUUUGCUAGUUGGGGGGGUAAAGGCCCACCAAGGCGACGAUCCGUAACUAGUCUGAGGGGAGGGACAGACACCCUGGAACUGAGAAACGGCACAGACACCAACGGGAGGGAACAGAGGAGAAAAGUGGACAGUGGAAGCAAGCAUAAUCCAACCAUACCGCGUGGGUUAAGAAGGCCUUCGGGUUGUAAAGCCAAUUUGUUUGGAAAGGAGAACAGCAGGUUAAUAGCGCGCUGUUCUGACGGUACCCAAAGAAUAAGCACCGGCUAACUUCGUG
rnacentral:rRNA from 1 species